UUAACUCAAAUUUGUAUGGAGUUGGAACGUUUGCCAACUUUUGCCGCUAGGGGCGCUGUUCCAACUGCAUACAAAUUUAAGUUA
rfam:Bombyx mori DNA, contig: Bm_scaf83_contig33331, strain: p50T/Dazao, build 2, whole genome shotgun sequence.